rnacentral:piRNA from 1 species
UGGCUAGGGAACCUGUCAAUCUUGAUCACC